UGCCUACGGGACGCAGCAGUGGGGAAUAUUGCACAAUGGGGGGAACCCUGAUGCAGCAAUGCCGCGUGAAGGAUGAAGGUUUUCGGAUUGUAAACUUCUUUUGUACGGGACGAAGAAAGUGACGGUACCGUAAGAAUAAGCCACGGCUAACUACGUGCCAGCAGCCGCGGUAAUACGUAGGUGGCAAGCGUUAUCCGGAUUUACUGGGUGUAAAGGGCGAGUAGGCGGGAUUGCAAGUCAGAUGUGAAAACUAUGGGCUCAACCUGUGGCCUGCAUUUGAAACUGUUUUUCUUGAGUGCUGGAGG
rnacentral:rRNA from 1 species